CCUCGAAAUUGAAUGGAGUGUAUGGCAAGGAGAGGAUGGCAGCUGUUCCCCUUUUCUGCAUGGAACUGCUUGAGCUAUGCGUGCUGGCUGCAGCUGAAACAAUGGAUGUGCUGCCAGACGAUUUUCUGUAUCUCGUAGAAGUCUUGCCAGCUGACCUCUGUGUGGGGAAGUCCAUUGCGCUGCCCUGCACGUUGUCCUCUUCCUCUCUUGUCCCUCUGCAAGGAUCCGGGAACCUGAACAAUCAAUCAAAAGGGAUAUACACAAAGGAUAUAAAUGGCGGAUGCAGGCAAAGUGGACAGGGUGUAUCUGCGACGCGCUCACUCCUAGGUUUCAUAAUAUAUUGAAUACAGCAGUCAGGCAAUUUUGCACCCCUCCUAGGUAGCGCAUUGCCUUGGAAUAUGUAGUUAAUACCUUAUCACACCGUGAUACACGCUCCGACUGCGUUCAGUUUCUUGGAUACGACCUCCAUGCCGUACUAUGCCAGUCCGUUUCUCUAUUACUAUUGUCAAGCUUCCCGACCUCAGUCCUUCUUUGAUUUUGCACCAACUUCUGAUGCAACCUUGUGCGCUACAACAGCUAUUUUAUGAGCUGCGCUGGAGGAGAAGGCCUUGAUAUUCGACCUCGAAAAAGCGACCCGAAACGCCCUAGUCCCCUUGGCCUUCUUACCGGCCUGAUCUGCCACAGCAAGUGGCAUCCCUAGGUCUUUGACAUUCUAGCAAGCCUCCUGCUGCAGC
rnacentral:lncRNA from 1 species